UCAUCGUGGUUCUGAGGCCUGGUGGGCAGGCUGGGGACUGAUCUUCUGCCUUGUCCCCACCUCAGCCUCCCUGUCCCAGUGUGGUGUGGCAGGCCCAAGCUGGUUCCUCAGUAUCCAUUUGGGCAAACACAUGGCUCAGCAGAUGGGAAGAGAGAUGUGGGCACCUGGGGAGAGAUGUGGAAUCAGCGUCAGGAAAGAAGCCCUUGUGAUUAUAUAACAGUUCUCAAGAGGAAGCUGCUAACAAGCCCAUCUGAUAUUUUGUGCCAGCUGUUUCAGUGGAGGCGUGUUGGACUGGAGUGAACUCCGCCUUCUUUGACAAGUGAAGCAUCUGAAAAGUGACAGAGCCUGAAGAAGAAGAGAAUUCAAAAUCUGGUGCUGAAUUUUCUCCUGGACCAGUCUGUUCUUCUGUAUCCAUGAACAAGUAGCUAAAUCAUUUCCACAUAGGAAAUGAUUUCCAUAAGUCACAGAAGCAUCUUUGAAGGGAGACAGUGGAAAAUUGAUCCUUUGAGAAAAUUAAAAAUAUACUAAAAAAACUAUAAGAAGAUGUUCCACAAGAAAGAAGCAUAUUUUGGAAAGACCUAUGACCAACUCCUGUGUGAAGAGAUUAAGGAUCCUGACCUGUUUCUAGGACAAUCUUCUAAGAAUGGUGGUGAAACAUAAAGAAUUGUAACCUGUUUUGGAGAUUUUCUCUAUGAUGAACUGUUAAAAGAGGUGAGGUACCCAGAAAUAAAGUGGGAAAAAAGGAAGCAACUGACCAAUAAUCUACCUAGAAAAUUUACUUUGGGGAAUGAAAAAUCCUUUGCAAUACAGAUAUGUUACAUUUGUCUUCAUUACCAUCCAGCACAAGCUGCAGCAAACGCACCCACAGAUCCUGAGGCCAACCACAGAUCUCAUGGAAAAUCAAACAAACUUGGAUAUAUCAGCAUGAAGAAGAUUCAAACCUCAUGGGCAGAUCAGAUUGAAGGAAAUGCAGAGGAUUUCUAGGAAGAUGGGAAGAAAUUACUGGAGAAAGCAAAUCUAUCUGCAUCGAGAAGCAUCAAGCCACACCACGAAGCAGCGCCGCUAACCGCUGCCCUGCAGGCGAAUGGCACGAGGAGAGCCUCGCACGGCGCAUCGCCGCACCUCCGGCCGGAGCUAUUGCUGGGGAAGGCAGAGCUCUCAGCCCGGCCUCGGCCAACUCCUCCAACUUUCCCAAGUCGCUCCCACAGGUUACCUGGGGCGGCGGGGAGGACGAAGGGCAGCAGGCAGCAGCAGCAGCAGCAGCAGCCGAGGAGCCCGGCGGCGCGCAGCCUCAUGUUGGGACCGCUGAGCGCGGAGCUCACGCGGAUCCUCCCGGGUGGCGAGGAGGAGGAGAAAAAGGAGGAGGCACCCCCGGCCUCCGCCCGCAGAGCCGGCGAGUUGCGGUGCGGUGGGGCGGGAGGAGAAAGCGAGAGCGGAACGCUGCCCGGCUACCCCCAGCCCGGCUGUGCAGAGCAGCGGGCACCGCGCGCACCCCGCCUGUCGCGAUCGCGGGCGA